UUAUACCGCGAAACUGCGAAUGGCUCAUUAUAUAAGUUAUCGUUUAUUUGAUAGCACGUUACUACUUGGAUAACCGUGGUAAUUCUAGAGCUAAUACAUGCUAAAAACCCCGACUUCGGAAGGGGUGUAUUUAUUAGAUUAAAAGCCAACGCCCUUCGGGGCUCUGUGGUGAUUCAUGAUAACUUUUCGAAUCGCAUGGCCUUGCGCCGGCGAUGGUUCAUUCAAAUUUCUUCCCUAUCAACUUUCGAUGCGAGGGUCUUGUCCUCGCAUGGUUGCAACGGGUAACGGAGGGUUAGGGCUCGACCCCGGAGAAGGAGCCUGAGAAACGGCUACUACAUCCAAGGAAGGCAGCAGGCGCGCAAAUUACCCAAUCCCGACACGGGGAGGUAGUGACAAUAAAUACUGAUACAGGGCUCUUUAGGGUCUUGUAAUCGGAAUGAGUACAAUUUAAAUCCCUUAACGAGGAACAAUUGGAGGGCAAGUCUGGUGCCAGCAGCCGCGGUAAUUCCAGCUCCAAUAGCGUAUAUUAAAGUUGUUGUGGUUAAAAAGCUCGUAGUCGAACCUUGGGCCUGGCCGGCCGGUCCCCCUCACCGGGUGCACUGAUCCGGCCGGGCCUUUCCCUCUGUGGAACCCCAUGGCCUUCACUGGCUGUGCGGGGGAAACAGGACUUUUACUGUGAAAAAAUUAGAGUGCUCCAGGCAGGCCUAUGCUCGAAUACAUUAGCAUGGAAUAAUAGAAUAGGACGCGUGGUUCUAUUUUGUUGGUUUCUAGGACCGCCGUAAUGAUUAAUAGGGACAGUCGGGGGCAUCAGUAUUCAAUUGUCAGAGGUGAAAUUCUUGGAUCUAUUGAAGACUAACUACUGCGAAAGCAUUUGCCAAGGAUGUUUUCAUUGAUAAGGAACGAAAGUUAGGGGAUCGAAGACGAUCAGAUACCGUCGUAGUCUUAACUAUAAACUAUGCCGACUAGGGAUCGGACGAUGUUAUUUCUUGACGCGUUCGGCACCUUUCGAGAAAUCAAAGUGCUUGGGCUCCAGGGG
rnacentral:rRNA from 1 species